GCCUCGUUAGCGCAGUAGGCAGCGCGUCAGUCUCAUAAUCUAAUGUAGAAAUCUGAAGGUCUUGAGUUCGAUCCUCACACGGUUCA
rfam:Nematostella vectensis strain CH2 x CH6 NEMVEscaffold_409_Cont26450, whole genome shotgun sequence.